rnacentral:antisense_RNA from 16 species
AAUAAGCAUUUAAAGUGCGUUGGCAGAGUGCAGAGCGGACACAAUCCUGUUUAUCAAAGCGAAUGAUGCCAAUCAUGUCAUCUUCAGCAAAACGCUCCAAUGCAUCGCUAAGACCGGAUUUCACACCGCGCGGUAGAUCGCAUUGGGUAAUAUCGCCAUUCACGAUAACGGUGACAUUCUCACCGAGGCGGGUC